AGGGAAGUAGGUUGCAGUCACUCCUGGCGUGGAGGGAGUUGGAAGCUGGCAAACCCAGAGAGGUGAAAGCGAGAUAGGUAGGAAGAAGCCCAGGGAAACAGCAGCAAGAGGUAGGACUGUGGCUGCUUGUUAUAGGGUCCCUGGCCUGGAACCCAGUGUUGAGGGCAGGCCUGGGCUCCCCUACUAGCCACUGGGUAAUGGCAAGGGCAGCAGGUCUGGAAAGACUGUGGAGUCCCUAGAAUGGGGGAACUUUAGUGACCUGGCUUGAGGGCCAAGCCGCAAAGAGGAAGCUGCAGACCUGGGAGUGAGCAAGCCAGCGGUGCGAGACAAGCUGGGAGAAGACAAUAUUGGCAGGAGAGUGCAAAUUGGAAGAGCUAAUCCCCAGGACAGCCAGCAGGAGGCACUGCUUGUGUGUAAACCAGGAGUUGAAGACCAGUGUACCUGGGAGAACCAGGCCCAAUGAACAUAGAAUGAAUGUGCAAUGCAAUUACUCUUACGAGGAGACCCGAACACUAACAAGUGGUGGACAGAAGCCCUUGGUCAUGCAAGGCCUCAGUGGCCACAGGACAACAUGGAGUUCUGCAGGAGGCUCUGGUUCAGGAGUGACCUGAUACUCUUGGUCUGAUAAUCUUCAAAGGGACUUCAAGUGAUUGGAAAAAUCCACCACAGACCUUG